CACUUUGACAUCUCUUUUACCAUAACAUUAUGCCUCCUUUCCGUUUUAACAUUCCUUUCUUCUCCUACGGCUCUCCUUCUCGUCCCUCUUCAUCAGGGACUUCUUCCCCAUCACCACCCCCACCUCCUCCUACUUCUUCCCGCCCUCCUUUUCGCCCUGGUGGCAUCGCUCAUCCGUCAAAGCCAGCCACGUCGCAAGAAACAAAGCCCAAGGUGUCACCUUCGCUUUCUAGGUCUAAAAGCAAUGUUGCGGCCACUGUAGCUUCUUCUUCCGCGUCUCAGUUGCCAUCCCGAGGCGCAGCCACGCCAUCCCGGCUGGCGAAACAGAGUAACCAAUCUGGUUCUCCGGUGAAGAAACCUGAGUCUCUGAGGGCAGAGGAGCAAAAGGUGGCGAUGAAAGAUAAAUCAUCAAGAGAAGUUAGAAAAGAAGCUGGUGAGAACAGCAAUCCGGUAGUAGAGAAGCCUCCGGCUGCACGUUCAGAACAAGAAGAAGCUCAGGAGCAGAGAAGGAGAGAAGUAGAGAAACUUGCAGUGGUAGAUAGGGAUUCAAAAACAGCUCAGGGACAGCAGAAGAGCAAAGAAACCGAGAAACUUACACCGGAAGAAAAGAAGAAAGGUCUUAGUGAGGAUAUGGAAGAGAGAACUAAAACAGCUCAGGAACAGCAGAAGAGCAAAGAAACCGAGAAACUUGCAGUGGAAGAAAAGAAGAAGGGUUUUCAAAAGGACACUGAAGAGAAAACAAAAACAGCUCAAGAAACGGAGAAACUUGCGAUGGAAGAAAAAGAAAAAGUUCUUCAAGACCACAUGGAAGAGAAUUCAAAGACAUCUCAGGAACAACAGAGGAGAAAGGAAACCGAGAAACUUGUGGCUCAAGAAAAGAAAAAAGUUCUUCACAAGGACAUGGAAGAGAAUUCAAAAGCAGCUCAAGAACAACAGAAGAGCAAACUUGCAGUGCAAGAAAGACAUACAGCUCUUAAAACGGUGGGUACAGAAGAUGCGACGCAAAGCAAAACCACACAAAAUAUCACCGCAGCAAAAGAAGGAUCAUCUUCAAUGAGCAGAAAGAUCAAAGAAGACAUCAGAGACGGACUCAGCAAGCUUACUUGGGGAAAAAGCAACGGUGACAACGAGAAAUCCGUGAGUGUCUUCACUCUAACAGGCGAAAACAGAGGAGCCAACAUGGCAAUAGGUUCUGAAAAAGACAAGAAAGACGGUGAGGUUCACAUCCGCCGUGGGUACAAAACUAAUCCAGACGAGAGCCCUGAGACCACAGCCACGGAGACCGAAGGAGGCACAAGACCCUACCCUAAAGACGUGGAAGAAGACGCUAGGGUUAGGGCAUACGUGAACGGAAACAGUCAGGGGGUCAACAACUCGAUUAUAUGCGAUAGUUCAGUGCAACAGAACGAUCCAGGCAUUCAUAUGAAUUUGAGGUUUGAAAAAUCAAAGGAAAAGGAUGAAACUAUUAGUCCACCGGAGAAAAAACCGGCGACGGAGAAGGUGUUGAAGUAUGAGCCGAGGGUGAGGAGGAGAUGCUUGAGAGGGUUGCUAGCAGAGUCGAGUCAGUCGGAUCCGGAGAAUCCUUUGAAGCCUAGGAGACAUGGUUGCCGCUUUACCUGUAAAGACAAAGAUAUUGAGAACACUUAAUUAUGUAAAUAUACUUUUAUUAAAUUAUGUGAAUACUUAAUUAUGUAAAUGCACCAUUUGAUCAUUGGCAAAAGGGAACAGAACAUGGAGUAUGAGUUCUUACAAAUGUUGUUGUUUAUUCAAUGAAUCGCACCAUUAAAUGUUGAAAACGUGGAGCGUCUUUUUUUUGGAAUUUUAGAGAAUUUCCUCUCCAACAAGAAUGUACAUCUUUUACUUUAACACCACCAAAAGAGUCUUUGAAACUUGUGUUAUCUAGAAGCAUUGACCACCAAAAACAGGACUUUUCUCGCAAUGCUUUUCGUUUUUCUUUUUUUGAUAUUUCUAGAAAAAGAGUAAUUUCAAAUAUUUAACUAAUUUUAGUGAAAGGAUCAUUGCAUUACGCGAAAUACUGCAUAGAAAGAAAAAAAACAGAAUGUUGUUUUAAAAAAAAUUGAUGUUCUAGAAAAGUGAUUUAAUUUGUUUAAAUAAUUUAUCAAAAAGGAUACAUGAAUAAGCUGAAUAGUGAAUACACAAAGGAAAAAUAGAAAAAUCAAUCGCAUGGCGUAUGAAUCGGAAAGUAUGUAAUGUCAGAAAUGAUAUAGUUACCGUUAUGAAAAAACUAUUGUGGUUUCUCUAAUGCUACUACUAUUAGCUGUGCAGGUCCGGUUUUUUUAUUCUUUCACAUGCCGUGAGAAUCUUUAUCUGGUCAUGGAGUACCUGAAUGGUGGAGAUCUCUUUUCCUUGUUGAGAAAUCUUGGUUGCUUAGACGAAGACAUGGCUCGCAUUUACAUUGCAGAAGUUGUAAGGCCUUUUCUAACACCUCAAAUUUUCUCUCCACAUGAUAUAAGUUGAACUUUAAUCAAAUGCUUUUGUCAGGUUCUUGCAUUGGAGUAUUUGCAUUCUGUAAAUAUUAUUCAUAGAGACUUAAAGCCAGACAAUCUGUUGAUCAAUCAGGAUGGUCAUAUCAAGGUUGAUAUUUAUUGAUUUUAAAGCUUUGCAUUACAAUCAGAAGAUCCGUUCAAUUGACUAGAAUUCGUUAACGAGACUAGAUUUUAUAGAAUCAUAUUGAAUAUUUGACGAUACAUUUCGUACCAUUCAGAUUUGGUUAGAGGCCACAUUUUCUCACAGAAUCUGCUCCCUUGUGAUACAGUUGACGGAUUUUGGGCUUUCCAAGGUUGGUCUUAUCAACAGCACAGAUGACUUAUCAGUUGAUGCAUCACUAGGAAACAGUGAAUUUUUCGCAGAGGAUGGAAGACCUCAACAUUCACAAGGAAAAGAUAGUCGUAAAAAACAUGAAGUUGUUGGAACACCUGAUUAUCUUGCGCCUGAAAUACUUCUUGGAAUGGGUCAUGGUUAGUAUUUUCAUUAGGGGAUAUGCACCAAGCAUGAAUCUGUUCAUGGACUUAUAUAAAUCAUUCACUACAGGUAAAACAGCUGAUUGGUGGUCAGUAGGUGUUAUUCUCUUUGAGGUUCUGGUGGGUAUUCCUCCUUUCAACGCAGAAACCCCACAGGUAAAUGUUUUUCUUUUAAUCUAAACUCAUCAGGUAUUAAUGUGUUUAACAUUUUUUAAUUGAUGUGUUUGCAGCAAAUUUUUGAAAAUAUAAUCAACAGAGAUAUACCAUGGCCUAAUGUGCCAGAGGAGAUAUCUUAUGAAGCUUAUGAUCUGAUCAACAAGUAAGAUCCCACACUUUCUGCAAUAAAUCUCAGAAAACCGAUCAUAAGUGUAACAAGAACAUGUUAGUUGUGGUAACGUUGUCUAUUUAUGUUCUUGUUACAGGCUGUUAACAGAAAAUCCUGUCCAAAGACUAGGGGCAACUGGAGCUGGAGAGGUAAAGCUCUAUCAGUUCAUCCCCUAGCUAACAUUUUUCUAUAAAGCUGGAUAUCAAUUUUCUGAAAAUCUAUUUACAGGGAAACGGCAUAAUUUUUUCAAAGAUAUUAACUGGGACACGCUUGCCAGGCAAAAGGUGCUUCUCAUAUUCUAUUAAGUGCGUUGAGAAAAAAAAAGAAUCUCUUACUAACCUCAGUUUUGUGUAUCUUUUGUAACAGGCAAUGUUUGUACCAUCAGCUGAACCACAAGACACUAGCUAUGUCAUGAGCAGAUAUAUAUGGAACCCGGAAGACGAAACUGUUCAUGGAGGCAGUGAUUUUGAUGACCUUACUGACACAUGCAGCAGCAGCUCCUUCAAUACACAUGAGGAAGAUGUAUGUCUCUCUCUCUUUUUUUUUUUGUUUACUUCCAUUUCUCUUGAUUGCGUCCAUAACAAAUGUUUCAAUAUUGUAAAAACAGGGGGAUCAGUGUGGUAUCUUAGCAGAAUUUGGAAGUGGACCGAAUCUUGCUGUGAAGUAUUCCUUCAGCAACUUUUCUUUUAAGGUCAGUUAGAUUCCUGUGCUCUCUAGAUCUCUCUCUUUUUUUGGGCUCUGUCUUUUAAUCAGUGGCGGAGCCACAUAGAGUAAGGUGGGGGCCAUUGAACCCAACAAAAUUAGAAAAUUUAGUGUAAAUUAUUAGAACUAAUCUAUAUGCCCUCAUUCUAAAUAUUUUAGUUUGAUGUCUUUGCCCCCAUCAAAAAUAAUUUUUGCCUCCGCCACUGACCGCAACUAAUUUUCUUUUAUUCCGUUUUUUUUUUGUCAACUUUUUUUUUCUUUUAUUCCGUUUAUGUUACAAUAUUGAAAAAAAGUAAUGUUUGGUAAAAAAAAAAGUAGAAGAAACUAUUGUGUUGUGUUGUGUUUUGAAGAUCCAACUAAACACAUUACUGAACAUGUAAAGGCAAAUCCAAAACGAAGCAUUUAAUCAAUAUUCCAAAGUUACAUGAAUAAUUUUUCUGGACAAACGAGACAUAUAUAGGCUUGUUAAAGUGAAAAAACAAAAUAUAAGUAGCUAGUUAAUUAUAUACCUCGUGUUGAAGUCAUUGAUGCCUCUGGAGUUAGAUUCGAAUGUCUUGUAGUUGGGCAAAGGGACACGACCAGUUUCGAUGUUGAUGAGAUCUUCGACGAGGAUGUCAUAGUGACGCUUCACUUCCUCUGCAGAUUUCCCUCCGACAGCUUUUGCUACAUUGUGCCAUCGGUCUGGUGUGUCCUUGUCGUAAACUGCCAAGGCUCUCUCGAACAUCUUGUUCUGCUUAAACGUCCAUGACGAGCUUCUAGAGUUUGACGCCAUUAAUGUUACUUGAGGAGAGAGUGAGAACGAAAUAGCAAUAGAGGGUUCCUUAUAAGGAGGAGAAAAAGAGAGUUCUUAGAUUCUGCAAGUUGGAGAGUUUUUUAAAAUUUUAUUUUAUUUAAUUAUUCUUUUCAUGUUAUACUAUCCAAAUUUAAAUAAAUGACAUUUUGUGACACAUUAACGUUCAUAUAUAUGGUAUAGAUACAGCCAACACUGGUGUAGUAUUUUCUGAUACCUUUUUAAUUUGAAAAGUGGAAACAAUGUAUCGAUAUCUCAAGUUUUUAAAGAAUGUAUUGAAUUUUAUGUUUUUUUUGUGAAAGAAUGAUAUAGGAAAAAAGUGAGAGCUAUGUAAUAUAUAGUCCUAUAUACUCGUAUGUUCGCGCCUAAACAUGCAUUUAACCGUGGAAGCACCGUAGCCUAAGGUUUAAAAGUUUCUACAUCCGGGUUCAAAUCUCAGGCUAUGCAAUUUCUUGCAGAUCGCGCAUUAUAAGAGGUCCAUGUUUCAAUUCCCGGAGAAAGCUAUUUAUUAAACAAUUAUGCAGACUAUGAAAAAAAAGGCUUACAAGCGAUCUUCAAUAUGGUGCAAAUAAAUCCGGUCACGCGUAGGUCUUCGUAGGACGGCUCAGGUGAUGCAGUUAGGCGUAGAUCCUCAUAAGACAUGUAGUAUUGUCGGUUGUCGAAUCGUCUAUGUAAUCUUUCUCAUAAUUGUAAUACUAUAAUAAAUCAGCAUUAAAAAAUCAUGCAUUUAACUAAUAAGUGAUAGUUUGUAAAAUAAAAAUUUAAGCAACUGAAAACUAGGAUGAUGUUAUAAGCUUACACGUUAAAGCAAAAUUAUUGAACUGAACUAUCAUAUCUGACAACCAGUUUAUACGUAGGGUUGAAGUUGGUAAAUUGAACAACUUGGCCUAAUACUAUGUGAUUAUUAUAAACAAAAGAUUAUCGCGAUGCUAUAUUAAUAUAAGUGCCACUACUUGUUUUCUUAUAUACAUGUAUUACGUAUAUAUUAUUUCACAGUUUUCGAUAUCAUAAUGUAAGCCAUCUAUAUACUUUGCGUGAUGAUUGAUAGGUUUAAGAAUAUAUUAGUAGACAAUCAUAGUGGAAGUAUAAUACAUCCAUAGUAUUAUUGGAAUGAAAAAGGUUUUGAAAUGGAGACGACUGGCCCAUUAUAAGAAAAUGGUAAGAUAUGCCAAUACUUAUAUUCUCCAAAGCUUAAUCGUAUGUUCAAAAAUGCUUAUGACUAAAUAAUGAUAAGCCAUUAUUUGAGCAUCGUUUCUGGCUAAGUUUACCAUCAUAUUUAUCCAAAGCAUAUUACAAGAAAUCAAGAUGUUUGAUAUGGUAGCUUAAAGUUCUCUAUUCUCAGCAUCAACUAAUAAUUAAUAACUCUAAAAAUGCUAAAUUCGAACAAAUAAAGGAUUCUAUAUGUCAUCAUCAUCUUCAUCACCUUAACCAAAGUUGGUGGAUAUUUUUUUUCCUACAAAUCAUAUUCGUUACCAAUUCGAAAUGAUCAAAGAUAAAACAUUAUUCUCCGGGACCUUGAAUCUCAUGACUUUAUGUGUGAUGUAAUUAAUGGAAGAGAGCCAUUUGGAUGACAAGCAAAUUUACAAGAACCACCAAAACUUUCAUGCAAAAGAAUAAGGACAUAAGGGAUAUUAUCGUUUCCUUUUGUGAUAAAAUUCCUAUAUCCAAAUCUAAUCUAUUUUCUGUUACAUAUACUUCAUGUCUAAUGUCGACCAAAUGACAAAAUAAAUUAAUAAUUUUCAUGUCUAACAAUAACGUUAAAGUUGUCCAAUUUCAUUGGUAUCCCAUUUUAUUAGUUAGAGUCAAAUGUUUUUUUGGAAGAGAAAUAUUGGUUAUUUUAGAUUCGACUCACAGUACAAAAAAAAAUCAGAUAUACUCCAUUGUAAUUAGGGCUGGAUCGGAUAUCCAAAUUUUUUAGAAAUAUUUGUCAUUUGCUUCGUAUAUUACGGAUACCAAUUUUUUCGAUUUGCUUUGCUCCAGAUAUCCGUAACAUACAAAGAUAAAAAAUUUAUAGGUAUUUGUGAUUUGCUUUGUACAUUAUAGAUAUCAAAUUUUUCUAUUUGUUUUGCUCCGGAUAUUUGUAACAUACUUAUAGAUGUAUCUUUUCAUUUUAGUUAAUACAAAUAAUCUAGAAAAAAAUUAGGUUAAUUUUUUUUAUAAAUAUUUUUACAUGAUCUAUAAUUAAAAAUAAAAAAAUAAAAGAAGCAAUGAAUAUGUUUGUAAAUUUUAAAAUUAGUUAUAAAAAGACAAACUUAAGAAAAAGUUAUAGUUAUCAUAAUUUUUUUCCUUUUUAAUACUUUUAUAAGUAAUAAUGUGAAUAAAAUUAAUUAAAUAAUGCGUUAAAAUAACAAUUACAGAAGCUCAUACAUUUAAAAUUACAUUUAAAAUUACUUCAUGUAGAUUGUUGCUUUAGAAACAUUACACAAAUAUUUCAAGAUCUAGAAUUUUGUUGAAAUAUUUAGGUUCUUUAUAAAUUAAUCACGAGUCGAAAUAUGGUUAAGGCUCUUAUACUCAAUGCAGUUCUAAAUGAAGAAUUUUGAUAAAGGUCAGGGUUCAUAUCUGCAAAUAUAGAGAGCUGGAACCCAAGUCUCUGUACCAUUUUUUUUCUCCCAAAUCUGUCAAUAGAUAGGCUUAUAUUUCAAGCUAAAAAACAUUGAGAAGCCUGAAAUAUGUCAGUCACCGUUUAUCAGAAUUAUCUAAAAAUCUCUUUAUGAGAAUAUUUUUCCCCAUUAAACUAUGGUUUUGGUUUGCAUUAGUAUGUUGAAUAUCUUGAACACCUGUUUCAAGAAGACUCAAAAGAAAUUAUCUUGUAUUCAGUUCAAGUUUCCUGUUUGUUCUUUGCUUCUUCACAAAGGUCUCUGUAAACCUAAGGAGCAAAUUCACAAGUUGAAUAGAGAUACCAAAGAUAACUUCAAUGGAUAAAACGAUCACUUUUCUUUACCUGCAUGAAAAGUUAUCUUUUCCUCUUCACACACAAAGCCACACAUAUACAUACAAACACAGACGCAAAUUAAGACACACCAAAUAUUUAUAUUUACUCUUUUUAACAUUUUCACCCACUUUUUAGUCAAAAAAAAAACAUUUUCACCCACUUUGACAUCUCUUUUACCAUAACAUUAUGCCUCCUUUCCGUUUUAACAUUCCUUUCUUCUCCUACGGCUCUCCUUCUCGUCCCUCUUCAUCAGGGACUUCUUCCCCAUCACCACCCCCACCUCCUCCUACUUCUUCCCGCCCUCCUUUUCGCCCUGGUGGCAUCGCUCAUCCGUCAAAGCCAGCCACGUCGCAAGA
rnacentral:lncRNA from 1 species